rnacentral:ncRNA from 1 species
ACAUUAAACAAAAUAUCACAAAGGCCCUCAGCAGGUGUUGAUGCAAUGUGAUUUCUGCCCAGUACUCCAAAUGUCAAAGUGGAGAAAUUCAGUGAAGCCUGAGUACAACAGCAGGAAUAACUAUAACCCUCUUAAGGUAGCCAAAUGCCUCACCACCUAAUUAGUGCUCCACGUGAAUGAAUGAA